rnacentral:rRNA from 2 species
AAAUUGAAGAGUUUGAUCAUGGCUCAGAUUGAACGCUGGCGGCAGGCCUAACACAUGCAAGUCGAACGGUAACAGGAAGCAGCUUGCUGCUUUGCUGACGAGUGGCGGACGGGUGAGUAAUGUCUGGGAAACUGCCCGAUGGAGGGGGAUAACUACUGGAAACGGUAGCUAAUACCGCAUAACGUCGCAAGACCAAAGAGGGGGACCUUAGGGCCUCUUGCCAUCGGAUGUGCCCAGAUGGGAUUAGCUAGUAGGUGGGGUAACGGCUCACCUAGGCGACGAUCCCUAGCUGGUCUGAGAGGAUGACCAGCCACACUGGAACUGAGACACGGUCCAGACUCCUACGGGAGGCAGCAGUGGGGAAUAUUGCACAAUGGGCGCAAGCCUGAUGCAGCCAUGCCGCGUGUAUGAAGAAGGCCUUCGGGUUGUAAAGUACUUUCAGCGGGGAGGAAGGGAGUAAAGUUAAUACCUUUGCUCAUUGACGUUACCCGCAGAAGAAGCACCGGCUAACUCCGUGCCAGCAGCCGCGGUAAUACGGAGGGUGCAAGCGUUAAUCGGAAUUACUGGGCGUAAAGCGCACGCAGGCGGUUUGUUAAGUCAGAUGUGAAAUCCCCGGGCUCAACCUGGGAACUGCAUCUGAUACUGGCAAGCUUGAGUCUCGUAGAGGGGGGUAGAAUUCCAGGUGUAGCGGUGAAAUGCGUAGAGAUCUGGAGGAAUACCGGUGGCGAAGGCGGCCCCCUGGACGAAGACUGACGCUCAGGUGCGAAAGCGUGGGGAGCAAACAGGAUUAGAUACCCUGGUAGUCCACGCCGUAAACGAUGUCGACUUGGAGGUUGUGCCCUUGAGGCGUGGCUUCCGGAGCUAACGCGUUAAGUCGACCGCCUGGGGAGUACGGCCGCAAGGUUAAAACUCAAAUGAAUUGACGGGGGCCCGCACAAGCGGUGGAGCAUGUGGUUUAAUUCGAUGCAACGCGAAGAACCUUACCUGGUCUUGACAUCCACGGAAGUUUUCAGAGAUGAGAAUGUGCCUUCGGGAACCGUGAGACAGGUGCUGCAUGGCUGUCGUCAGCUCGUGUUGUGAAAUGUUGGGUUAAGUCCCGCAACGAGCGCAACCCUUAUCCUUUGUUGCCAGCGGUCCGGCCGGGAACUCAAAGGAGACUGCCAGUGAUAAACUGGAGGAAGGUGGGGAUGACGUCAAGUCAUCAUGGCCCUUACGACCAGGGCUACACACGUGCUACAAUGGCGCAUACAAAGAGAAGCGACCUCGCGAGAGCAAGCGGACCUCAUAAAGUGCGUCGUAGUCCGGAUUGGAGUCUGCAACUCGACUCCAUGAAGUCGGAAUCGCUAGUAAUCGUGGAUCAGAAUGCCACGGUGAAUACGUUCCCGGGCCUUGUACACACCGCCCGUCACACCAUGGGAGUGGGUUGCAAAAGAAGUAGGUAGCUUAACCUUCGGGAGGGCGCUUACCACUUUGUGAUUCAUGACUGGGGUGAAGUCGUAACAAGGUAACCGUAGGGGAACCUGCGGUUGGAUCACCUCCUUACCUUAAAGAAGC